AGGCUUGGAUCUCAUGAUAAUUUUGAUAUUGAUGAGGAGAUGAGGUAUUCUCGGUCUAUAGGGGUAGGGGGUUGACGAUAGUGGUUACGAGGAAGAGGAGGACAUUAUGUUAGAUUCCCAAACACUGAGACCUUUGGAGAUUCUUCUGAUUCUCUCAAUAGAGGACCUACUGAUUUGACCAGUUUGCAAAGCAGUGGCGGUGUUCGAAUGUCAUCAACACUUCUUUAAUGGAUGAGGCACCAUCUUCCCAAGCAGCCAUUGCUGCGGAUUUGAACCAUACUGGCUUUAAUGAUCAAGCCAAACAGUUGGCAUCUGAAUUUCCUUCUGAAAGUUUCUCUGCAUCUGGCAGUGAAAGCAGGAUCCAAGACCAUUUGCUUGGUCAACAUGGAGGAAGGCAUUGAUGCCAAGAGUUUGCUCAGAAGCGCAUCCAUCUGAGGACUGGCAGUUGUCAAAUUCCAAUGAUUCCCAGUCAUUAUUGAAUGACAAGUUUGAUGGGGCUGAUAAAGCUGGGCCAUCAGCAAUUCUACUACUCAUCCAUCUAACACUAUAUCAAAGGUUAGUGAAAAAUCAGCUUCUUCUGGUGAACUCUCUGAGGGCCAGCUUCUAGCAAAGUACUGGUGAAACACAUUCUGUAAAGUCUGCGGACAACCUUGUAGUUCUACAUCAUCGAAUUCAGAUUCUGUUGCUGUUGUCUCAGCAUCUAGUGGCCCUGCUUAUCACCAAGCUUAUCAAUGGCUCAUUAUCCUCUGAGAAGUCACACUGAACCCCCAUGCAAAGGUGCGUUUCUUUUUUUUUACUUUCCAGUGCAUUAUAAGCCAACUCCAAGACUUGUAUUUUUAACUUUGAAGAAUCUUAACUGUUCUAUUGUUUACUUUUGACAUGAUUUUAUGUCUCUUGUCUUCUGUUGUCAUUUCACACAUCUU